AGAAAUGCAGAAGUGGGAUCGAUUGUGAGGGAAAGAGGACUGAAAUCAUAUGCAGACGAAGGAAACAGCCUUCCCUCUCAGUCCAAAUGAAAUCUCCAUGUCACUCAGUGUAACCCAAGGACUCUGAUGCACCGCCCAGCCAUCCGCGAUCUGUAGAUUUCCUCUGCAGUCUACCUGACUUACUGUCCCUGUCCCUGCACAUCGGAGGAAGCUCAGCUGUGAUUGAGGAGACUUGCUGUGAAGCACCAGCUUCCCUGACGGAGGCAUAAACACACGCACACACACAAAACAGAAACCACGCAAGGAAGUCUCAUUCUAGCCAGCCCAUAGGGCACAGUCAGAAAGCAAAAUUUGCAAGUGGGAUUUUGGAUCACUGUUUUCACCUCCCUCCAGGAGAAAUGAAGCUGUAGUGGAGCACUGAGUCAGAAGAAGGGACUGCAGAUGUCAUGAAAAUAUCGUGGAAAAGACAAAGGUUUCAUUUUUACCGCUGAAUCCUGAGUACCCCACGCAAGGAGUCCAUGUUUAACGUCUAUGUGAUGGAGCACUGUGUAGACCAGGACUCAAAGUGUAAGAAGAUAAUAAAGAUUUAAUCAGUCUAAUGAAUUACAUCCAUAAGAUAUUUCUCAUCACCACACCAAGCCAACCAACCAACCAGCCAACAGACGAAGAAACAAAGUUGAAGUCUGUGCAUGAAGAAUUCAUUCCAUGGGAGCCGGCAAGAAGAAUAUUCUUUGAUCAAAAGUUGCAUAGAGUUAGUUCUACAUCUGAUUCUGGAUUCCAGUUCUGUGUUUUUGCUAAUCAUAUAACAUAAUUCUUAUAUUAGAGAGGAGGUAAUCGAUAUUGACUAAAUGUCACUAUUUCUGAUACACGGUGUAUUUAAAAAUCGUCCUUCGUCUGUGUGGAAUUGCUACUCGGGGCUAGAUACAAAACAAGAAAACGUGGAAGAAAGAGA